rnacentral:lncRNA from 10 species
CAUCCUGUCCUGGAGGGAGUUCCUCCUAGGUCUGAUAAGACCUUUUAUGGUAAUUAAGAUUUAGAUCCCCUGUUACGAAACCUGCUGGGUUAAGGGAAUUUUCAGUGGUUAAUGUUAAAUCAUUUUUCUUUCUUUCUUUCUCUCUUUGACUUUGUCUCUCUCUCACUUUCCUUUUGCCUCUGUCUCUUUCUCUUUCUCUCUGCCUCUCUCUCUCUCUCUCUCUCUCUCUCCUUGACUCCCUCUUUGUCUGUCUCUUCCUCUCUGUCUCUUUCCUUUCUCUCUCUCUGCUGGUCUUUCCUUGCCUCUGCCAGCCGCUUAUUCUGCUGUUCUCUCAACCACGGUGUGUUGGGGGCGGGGGGUCUAAAACCAGCUGUAACCAAGUGUCUAUGAACGGGAGCUGGUCUGGGUGCCCUGGCUUACCGGUUACCUUCUGCCAUACCUUUGAAACAGGAGACGUGUCCAGGCUUCCUUCUAAUGGCCAACCUACCUCUAAUGCUGGCCAGUCUUACACAAAGUUUUAAGUGUUCCUGGUGUCAUAGUACUCCAUAGUCUCCUUUAAAUCCUUUUUUUGAAAUUUUUCAACAUAGUUCCUAGUGGGGUGGGCUUACUUUGUACCUCACCCAUGUUUCCUCGAGACAAAACAUCAUGCUCACACCACACGUGCACCACAAAACAAAGAAUGGGUAAAAAGGGCACACACGCACUUUUGUAGUUUACACCAAACCAAAAUCAAAACCAAAAUCAGAGUAUCCGGAAAUCCAAGCCAGGUCAAAACCAAAACCAAAGUAUCAAGCAAUCCAAGUCAAGUCAAAAACAAAAACCAAAGGCCGGUACAGGCACACCGUGGGUGAUCAGGCCACGCUUCCACUCAAAUGGAGUGGGCAAGUUCCCAAGACCGGUCCUGUCAAGUAAUUCAAACCAAGUCAAAACCAAAACCAAAGUGCCGAUAAAGGCAUGUCGUGGGUGAUCAGGCCAUGCUUCCACUCAAAUGGAGUGGGCAAGUUUCAAAGACUAGUCUUACCAAGUUUUAGAUGUCCAGACUCCAAGUGCCUGCUCCUUCAUGGUGUUCAGCCACUGUGUUGAUCCUCCACGGUAGCCUGCCACACACUGCUCUGGCGAGGCGUCCAACCGGGGCAAAUGCGUACCCGGGAGCGCUCUCAGGAUCUGCGUCUCUCAGGCUGGUCGGAGUCCCCAGCAGGCAUGUUCCACAGGGCAGGCUUAAGCCGCCUAAGGAGCUGCCUCAACCAUCCACCAAUCACCUCACUUCCCAGUCAGGGAACCAAGAAAUGUAGCAGGACGAGCCACAGACAAAACUCCUCAGACACCCAGUUAAAGAAGGAAGGGGUUUAUUUGGCUGGGGGCAUCGGCAAGACUCCUGUCUCAAGAGCCAAGCUCCCUGAGUGAGCAAUUCCUGUCCCUUUUAAAGGCUCACAACUCUAAGGGGGUGCGCGUGAGAGGGUCGUCAUCGAUUGAGCAAGCAGGAGGAUACGUCAUGGAACAGAGGGCAACCUGCCUCCUGGAAAUGUGGAGUGUCUAGGGAGUCACAGCUGAGAUCUUCCUUGGAUUAAAGGCUGCGGGUGUCACAAACAGACCUGAUUGAAAAUUCUUGAUCUGGCCACAUACCCUGUUUACAUUGAUGCAGAUUCAACUGGGUGAAAUAACUGUGAACUGGGCAUGUGAAGAGAAAGCUGAAAGCCAUGAUCUCAAGAUGGAAACUUCAGUAUCCAGCAAAGCCUUCUGGUCUCUUCAUGCUUG